GACGAACGCUGGCGGCGUGCUUAACACAUGCAAGUCGAACGAUGAAGCCGGAGCUUGCUCUGGUGAAUUAGUGGCGAACGGGUGAGUAACACGUGAGUAACCUGCCCUUGACUCUGGGAUAACUGCGGGCAACUGUAGCUAAUACCGGAUACGACCCUCGGAGGCAUCUCCUGGGGGUGGAAAGAAUUUCGGUCAAGGAUGGACUCGCGGCCUAUCAGCUAGUUGGUGAGGUAAAGGCUCACCAAGGCGACGACGGGUAGCCGGCCUGAGAGGGUGACCGGGCACACUGGGACUGAGACACGGCCCAGACUCCUACGGGAGGCAGCAGUGGGGAAUAUUGCACAAUGGGCGCAAGCCUGAUGCAGCAACGCCGCGUGAGGGAUGACGGCCUUCGGGUUGUAAACCUCUUUUAGCAGGGAAGAAGCGAAAGUGACGGUACCUGCAGAAAAAGCACCGGCUAACUACGUGCCAGCCGCCGCAGUAA
rnacentral:rRNA from 1 species